rnacentral:rRNA from 1 species
CGUGAGGUGUUGGGUUAAGUCCCGCAACGAGCGCAACCCCUAUCUUUAGUUGCCAGCGAGUAAUGUCGGGGACUCUAAAGAAACUGCCUACGCAAGUAGAGAGGAAGGCGGGGACGACGUCAAGUCAUCACGGCCCUUACGUCCUGGGCCACACACGUGCUACAAUGGCCGGUACAGAGAGCAGCCACGUCGCAAGGCGGAGCGAAUCUAUAAAACCGGUCACAGUUCGGAUCGGAGUCUGCAACUCGACUCCGUGAAGCUGGA